rnacentral:rRNA from 1 species
GACGAACGCUGGCGGCGUGCUUAACACAUGCAAGUCGAACGGAAAGGCCCUGCUUGUGUGGGGUGCUCGAGUGGCGAACGGGUGAGUAACACGUGAGUAACCUGCCCUGGACUUUGGGAUAACGUCAGGAAACUGGGGCUAAUACCGGAUAGGAGCUCCUGCUGCACGGUGGGGGUUGGAAAGUUUCGGCGGUUGGUGCUGGACUCGCUGCUGAUCAGCUUGUUGGUGGGGUAGUGGCUUACCAAGGCUUUGACGGGUAGCCGGCCUGAGAGGGUGACCGGCCACAUUGGGCCUGAGAUACGCCCCCGCCUCCUACGGGCGCCCGCAGUCGCGAAUAUUGCCCUAUGGGCGGACGCCUGAUGCAGCCCCGCCGCGUGCGGGAUGCCGGCCUUCGCGUUGUAAACCGCUUUCGCCUGUGCCGAAGCCUUUGUGCCGGUAAUGGGUAAAGACGCACCGGCUACCUACGUG